AGGGAUUUGGCUCAGUGGUUCCAGCACCUGCCUCGCAAGCAGAAGGACCUGAGUUCGAUCCCCGGUACCCCCC
rfam:Fukomys damarensis contig95560, whole genome shotgun sequence.